rnacentral:rRNA from 1 species
AUGGCGGCUGUCGUAUCAUUGGUCCUAAGGUAGCAGAAUUCCUUGACAGGUAAGUUCCGUCCGGCAUGAGCGGUGUUACGACUUCCUCACUGUCACUAGCCCGGUCUUUCAGAAAUUGAGUCAUCCUUGAUUACGAGGAAGCCAACGGCCUGACGAUAAGACCCUGAGCACCUUUCCU